UACGAAGGGGGCUAGCGUUGCUCGGAAUCACUGGGCGUAAAGGGUGCGUAGGCGGGUCUUUUAAGUCAGGGGUGAAAUCCUGGAGCUCAACUCCAGAACUGCCUUUGAUACUGAAGAUCUUGAGUUCGGGAGAGGUGAGUGGAACUGCGAGUGUAGAGGUGAAAUUCGUAGAUAUUCGCAAGAACACCAGUGGCGAAGGCGGCUCACUGGCCCGGUACUGACGCUGAGGCGCGAAAGCGUGGGGAGCAAACAGG
rnacentral:rRNA from 1 species